GAGAGUAGGGGCUAAUUGAGGCAAUUUAAGCGACCUAAUUGGCUUCUCUUGAUUAACAGUCAAGUGCUAUUAAAAGCUUCUACUUA
rnacentral:tRNA from 1 species